UACGUAGGGUGCAAGCGUUGUCCGGAAUUAUUGGGCGUAAAGAGCUCGUAGGCGGUUUGUCGCGUCGGCUGUGAAAACCCGGGGCUCAACCCCGGGCCUGCAGUCGAUACGGGCAAACUAGAGUGCGGUAGGGGAGACUGGAAUUCCUGGUGUAGCGGUGAAAUGCGUAGAGAUCCGGAGGAACACCAGUGGCGAAGGCGGCUCGCUGGGCUUUACCUGACGCUGAGGCGCGAAAGCGUGGGGAGCGAACCGG
rnacentral:rRNA from 1 species